rnacentral:miRNA from 1 species
CCGGGCUCAUUCAUCAUCAGCCCAUCACCCUGGUCGCGAGACGAUGGAUGCCGCGG